UUCGCUGCAGAACUUCCAGAAGGUGUCAUUCGUCCUCCAAAAGUCAACAAUUAAGAAAUUUGGCAAAAACUUUAUUUUGUGAAUAUUUUUAGAGAAAUGAUUUGUAAGGAGAAAAUUUGAAAGUUACCUUUGCAUCAUGUAGCAUCGAUGUCGUUUGUGAUCGGAUAGCCGAUCUCUGGAGAUGUGGGUCUUUUUUAGAAAGAUGGGACGAAGUGUCAAAAAAGUGGUUUCGUCGUCAGGUGAUUUCAAAUUCGUAUUGAAUUGGACAAGAUAAUCUACGCAGAGUAUGGUUGAUGUGUUGCUUUAAAGGAGGUCGAAGACUUUGGAUGAUAUCGAGUUAGAGACUUGUAAAUAUAGGAAUACUUGUCUAAUGAAUGCCAGGAACUGAAAUGUGAUUUAGGAUUUGUUGACAAUAAUAUAAUAACAAGUGGGUAUAACAAAUUAAUGUGGAUUAUUCCAUUUGAUGUACAUACCUGUACAUUAGAUGAAUGCUUUUUAAGUAAAUUGGGUGGCCGAAACAUUAA